rnacentral:rRNA from 1 species
AACGAACGCUGGCGGCAUGCCUAACACAUGCAAGUCGAACGAGACCUUCGGGUCUAGUGGCGCACGGGUGCGUAACGCGUGGGAACCUGCCCUUAGGUUCGGAAUAACUCCCCGAAAGGGGUGCUAAUACCGGAUAAUGUCUUCGGACCAAAGAUUUAUCGCCUUUGGAUGGGCCCGCGUUGGAUUAGCUAGUUGGUAGGGUAAAAGCCUACCAAGGCGACGAUCCAUAGCUGGUCGGAGAGGAUGAUCAGCCACACUGGGACUGAGACACGGCCCAGAAUCCUACGGGAGGCAGCAGUGGGGAAUAUUAGACAAUGGGCGAAAGCCUGAUCCAGCAAUGCCGCGUGAGUGAUGAAGGCCUUAGGGUUGUAAAGCUCUUUUACCCGGGAUGAUAAUGACAGUACCGGGAGAAUAAGCACCGGCUAACUCCGUG